GUACUUACCUGGCAGGUGGUUUUCCCAGGGCGAGGUUUAUCCAUUGCACUGCGGAUGUGGUGACCCCUGCGAUUUCCCCAAAUGUGGGAAACUCGACUGCACAAAUUGUGGUAGUGGGGGACUGCGUUCGCGCUCACCCCUG
rnacentral:snRNA from 1 species